AUGGGAGGCGGCAUAAAGCAGCUGCUGGCGAGCUUGUUGGGAGCGGUGGGUGGAGGCCAGAGGGGCGCCAAGAAGGAGAGCACGCGGCCGCAGCCGCAGACAGUGGAGCUCAGGGUCCGGAUGGACUGCGAGCGCUGCGAGCGCCAGGUCAAGAAAGCACUCGCCGGCAUGCGAGGUGUGGAGCGCGUAGAGGUGAACAGGAAGCAGCAGAGGGUGACUGUCACUGGCGUCGUGGACCCCCACAAGGUCCUGCGGAGGGCCCAGUCCACAGGCAAGAAGGCUGAGCUGUGGCCCCGGAAUCAUCAUCAUCCUGGCUACGACGACAACAGCGCUGCCGUCACGGCCCAUUAUGGCGCCAUCGGAGCAGCCCAGGCCCAUGGCAGGUGGGCCCCGUCUCCCUACCGGCGGAACGCGGACGCAGCCAGCGCCGAGCAGAUCGCCAGCCUCUUCAGCGACGAAAACCCGAACGCCUGCUCCGUCAUGUAG
rnacentral:rRNA from 1 species